CAAUAGCGUAUAUUUAAGUUGUUGCAGUUAAAAAGCUCGUAGUUGGAUUUCGGGUGUGAACGACCGGUCCGUCUUUGAUGUGUACUGGUUGGUUGCGCCUUAUUGUCGAGGACGUGGUUCUAGCUUUCAUUAGCCGGGACACGGAGUCGGCAACGUUACUUUGAGAAAAUUAGAGUGUUCAAAGCAGGCUAUCGCUCUGAAUACUACAGCAUGGAAUAACACGAUAGGACUCCGAGCCUAUUCUGUUGGUCUUCGGGACCGGAGUAAUGAUUAAGAGGGACAGUUGGGGGCAUUCGUAUUCCGAUGUCAGAGGUGAAAUUCUUGGAUUAUCGGAAGACGAGCAUCUGCGAAAGCAUUUGCCAAGGAUGUUUUCAUUAA
rnacentral:rRNA from 1 species